rnacentral:misc_RNA from 1 species
GUGAAUCAUCAAAUCUUUGAACGCAAAUUGCACUCUCUUCUGAGAGUAUGCCUGUUUGAGUGUCAGCCUAAAAAAAAUCGACAGAGUUGCUGUUUCGCUGUUACAUUCGUCGGAUAUUGGGUCAGCUUAAACCUUUGGGUUUUAAGCGGCUCAAAAUUUUCUUUACGAUUCCACUAACGUUUCUAAGAUGUUACUUCUUACACAUUUAAGGUAUCGA